rnacentral:rRNA from 2 species
GGGGAAUAUUGCACAAUGGGGGAAACCCUGAUGCAGCAACGCCGCGUGAAGGAUGAAGGUUUUCGGAUUGUAAACUUCUUUAGUCAGGGACGAAUAAAUGACGGUACCUGAAGAAUAAGCCACGGCUAACUACGUGCCAGCAGCCGCGGUAAUACGUAGGUGGCAAGCGUUGUCCGGAAUUACUGGGUGUAAAGGAUGCGUAGGCGGAUAUGUAAGUCAGAUGUGAAACCCCCGGGCUUAACCCGGGGCAUGCAUUUGAGACUGCAUAUCUAGAGUGCAGGAGAGGAAAGCGGAAUUCCUAGUGUAGCGGUGAAAUGCGUAGAUAUUAGGAAGAACACCAGUGGCGAAGGCGGCUUUCUGGACUGUAACUGACGCUGAUGCAUGAAAGCGUGGGGAGCAAACA